GUGCAAUGCUCAUGGAUAACUGUGGUAAUUCUAGAGCUAAUACAUGCGUUCAAGCCCCGACUUCUGGAAGGGGUGUAUUUAUUAGAUAAAAAACCAACGCGCUCAAACCGCUCGUUCGGUGAUUCAAUGAUAACUUCUCGAAUCGCAAGGCCUCGCGCCGGCGAUGCUUCAUUCAAAUAUCUGCCCUAUCAACUUUCGAUGGUAAGGAUAGAGGCCUACCAUGGUUUUGACGGGUAACGGGGAAUGGGUUCGAUUCCGGAGAGGGAGCCUGGAAACGGCUACCACAUCCAAGGAAGGCAGCAGGCGCGCAAAUUACCCAAUGCCGACACGGCGAGGUAGUGACAAUAAAUAACAAUGUAGGGCCCUUUCGGGUCUUACAAUUGGAAUGAGUACAAUCUAAACCCCUUAACGAGGAACGAUUGGAGGGCAAGUCUGGUGCCAGCAGCCGCGGUAAUUCCAGCUCCAAUAGCGUAUAUUAAAGUUGCUGCCGUUAAAACGCUCGUAGUUGAACUUCAGGCCCUGGUCGGGUGGUCCGCCAUACCCGGCGUCCAUCGUCCGGCCGGGCCUUACCUCCAGGUGAUCCGGCGUGCCCUUAGCUGGGUGCGUCGGGGAACCGGGACCUUUACCUUGAGAAAAUUAGAGUGUUCAAAGCAGGCCUGUGCCCGAAUACAUUAGCAUGGAAUAACGAAAUAGGACGUGCGGUUCUAUUUUGUUGGUUUCUAGUAACCGCCGUAAUGAUUGAUAGGGACAGUCGGGGGCGUUAGUAUUCGGCCGUCAGAGGUGAAAUUCUCGGAUCGUCGAAGACUGACUACUGCGAAAGCAUUCGCCAAGGAGUUUUCAUUAAUCAAGAACGAAGGUCAGGGGAUCGAAAACGAUCAGAUACCGUUGUAGUCCUGACAGUAAACGAUGCCGACUAGGGAUCGGGCGACCACAACCAAAACGCGUCGCCCGGCACCUUACGAGAAAUCAAAGUCUUUGGGUUCUGGGGGGAGUAUGGUCGCAAGGCUGAAACUUAAAGGAAUUGACGGAAGGGCACCACCAGGUGUGGAGCCUGCGGCUUAAUUUGACUCAACACGGGGAAACUCACCAGGUCCAGACAUGAGCAGGAUUGACAGAUUGAAGUUCUUUCAUGAUUUUAUGGGUGGUGGUGCAUGGCCGUUCUUAGUUCGUGGAUCGAUUUGUCUGGUUAAUUCCGAUAACGAACGAGACCUUACCCUGCUUAGUAGCGUGGCCGGCCUCNGCNGUCCCAUCGCUUCUUAGAGGUACCGACCGCUUCCAGCNCCGGGAGUGAGGCAAUAACAGGUCUGUGAUGCCCCUUAGAUGUUCUGGGCCGCAGGCGCGCUACACUGACAGAGCCAGCGAGUGAGCUUACGCCCUUGGCCGCCAAGGUUUGGGUAAUCUUGUGAAACUCUCGUGCUGGGGAUAGAGCACUGCAACUGCGCUCUUCAACGAGGAAUACCUAGUAGCGCGAGUCAUCAGCUCGCGUCGAUUACGUCCCUGCCCUUUGUACACACCGCCCGUCGCUACUACCGAUUGAACGGCUUAGUGAGGUCUCGGGAUGACUUCGGGGAGCCGGCAACGGCACCCCGUCGGCGAGAACUCGACCAAACUUGGUCGA
rnacentral:rRNA from 1 species